rnacentral:rRNA from 1 species
AUUGAACGCUGGCGGCAUGCCUUACACAUGCAAGUCGAACGGUAACGGGCCUUCGGGUGCCGACGAGUGGCGAACGGGUGAGUAAUGUAUCGGAACGUACCUUUCAGUGGGGGAUAACGUAGCGAAAGUUACGCUAAUACCGCAUAUUCUGUGAGCAGGAAAGCAGGGGAUCGCAAGACCUUGCGCUGAUUGAGCGGCCGAUAUCAGAUUAGCUAGUUGGUGAGGUAAAGGCUCACCAAGGCGACGAUCUGUAGCGGGUCUGAGAGGAUGAUCCGCCACACUGGAACUGAGACACGGUCCAGACUCCUACGGGAGGCAGCAGUGGGGAAUUUUGGACAAUGGGGGCAACCCUGAUCCAGCCAUGCCGCGUGAGUGAAGAAGGCCUCGGUUGUAAGCUCUUCGUCCGGGAGAAUACGUAUGGGUUAAUACCCUGUGCGGAUGACGGUACCGGCAUAAGAAGCACCGGCUAACUACGUGCCAGCAGCCGCGGU